UCCUCAAAACCUGAUCCUGAGCGACCUGC
rnacentral:piRNA from 1 species